rnacentral:rRNA from 1 species
UGGGGAAUAUUGCACAAUGGGCGCAAGCCUGAUGCAGCCAUGCCGCGUGUGUGAAGAAGGCCUUCGGGUUGUAAAGCACUUUCAGCGAGGAGGAAGGCAUUGUGGUUAAUAACCACAGUGAUUGACGUUACUCGCAGAAGAAGCACCGGCUAACUCCGUGCCAGCAGCCGCGGUAAUACGGAGGGUGCAAGCGGUAAUCGGAAUUACUGGGCGUAAAGCGCACGCAGGCGGUUUGUUAAGUCAGAUGUGAAAUCCCCGCGCUUAACGUGGGAACUGCAUUUGAAACUGGCAAGCUAGAGUCUUGUAGAGGGGGGUAGAAUUCCAGGUGUAGCGGUGAAAUGCGUAGAGAUCUGGAGGAAUACCGGUGGCGAAGGCGGCCCCCUGGACAAAGACUGACGCUCAGGUGCGAAAGCGUGGGGAGCAAACAGG